UACGGAGGGUGCGAGCGUUGUCCGGAAUCACUGGGCGUAAAGGGCGCGUAGGCGGCCCGAUAAGUAGGGGGUGAAAUCCUGCGGCUUAACCGCAGGGCUGCCUUCUAAACUGUCGGGCUAGAGCACGGUAGAGGCAGAUGGAAUUCCCGGUGUAGCGGUGGAAUGCGUAGAGAUCGGGAGGAAGGCCGGUGGCGAAGGCGGCGCUCUGGAACAUUUCUGACGCUGAGGCUCGAAAGCGUGGGGAGCAAACAGG
rnacentral:rRNA from 1 species